UGACCGCCUUGAGAGGCAUUUUUUAUGGUCGGUUUUGCGGCACAUGGGGAUCAGAGAUCACCGUAUUGGCAUGGUACAAACUUUAUAUUCCUCUCCAGUGGCAAUGGUGAUGACUGGUAGUUUAUGCUCUCCUCCCUUUUCUGUUUUCCGCAGCUCUAGACAAGGGUGUAUUCUUUCUCUGUUAAUAUUUGCUCUAUCUCUAAAACCCUUGGCCCAGGCUGUACAUCAGUCUUCCCACAUUCCCAUUUCUGUCCGUAAUACGGAUCAUUUCAUAUCUCUUUAUGCAUAUGAUAUUUUAGUUUUUCUGGUUGACGCCGUACAUUCUGUUCCACAUAUUCUGUCUAUUUUUAAUAAUUUUAGUGAAAUAUCUGGAUACAAAAUAUUAAUAUAUUUGGGCAUCUCCAUUUUCCUUUCAUUGCAAGCUGGGCCGCCAUGCCAAAUACUUUCCAUGUACGUAUUUCAGUUAUUAAGAUGAAUAUUCUGCCUCGGGUUCAUUUUUGUAGUGGUAUGCUCCCUUUACCCCCUCCAACAGGUUACUGGGAUAAAUUGCACAAAUUAGUUACAUAUAUGUGGAAAGGUAAGCGUCCUCGCAUUAAAAUGUCUAUUCUGCAAAAAUCAAAAUUCUCUGGACUAGGUCUUCCUAACUUUAAAUUCUAUUCAUGGUCUUUCAGUCUUCAUGUUUUAAAUAUUUGGCUUAACCCAGACGCUGAAGUGGCCUGGCGUCCUCUGGAGGAGAAGCUGGUGCGCCCUCAUAGACUCCAGGAUUCAUUCCAAUAUUCCCCUUAAAAUUUGUAGAUCCAAAUAUGGCCCAAUUAUUUCUUACCUAAUCAUGAUUUGGAGAUCAGUAGAAAACCAUGCAAAUAUCCAUAUGAAAUAUCAUCUACAUCUCCCUUUCUUUAAUAAUUUUGCACUCUGAUAUAAUUUCUAACAACAUAUUGAGGACCUUUCUAGACCUGAAUACAGUUUAUAAUAUCCCUAGUACAUCCUUCUUUUUUUAUUUACAACUUGGCAGUGCUCUGCGAGCCUAUGGGAUCUCUUGGGGAGACGAGUUCAAGAUCCAUCCAAUUCACAAAAUCUGUUCCAAUCAAUCUGCCAAGGGUUUGGUCUCCAACCUGUAUGCCUUUAUGUGCAAAGCAGCAGAAUCUCCUCCACUUAUUAAAACCAAUUGGAGUCACGACCUGUCUGUUUCUUCUUCAGCAGUAGAUUGGAACAUGGUGUGGUCCAAUGUUCUUUCAUCAUCUAGAAAUCCAUGAUACAUUCUAACUUUUUCCACAGACUCUACUGCACUCCUCGGAAAUUAUUUCAGAUGAAACAUGCUCCAAAUCCAGACUAUCAACUCUGCUCCCUGAGAACCAUAGGCACAUGGUUGUUCUUGUAGGUUUUCUAUACAAGUCCCGUCCUGGGGAACUUCAUUGUUCACAGGCCACUCCUGGUGACUCUGCUGCUUCCUCAGUGCUGAGGGGAAACUAAAUCCAGAGCUCCAUGGCCCUGUGGUAAAGUGUUUGCUCUUCUCUGCUGUUAAAACAUAACUUACCUGUGGUUCAUCACCUGAGUCCAGUUCCUCCAGCCACACCCAGACCUGGUUACUGCCACACCUGUUCUCAGUCUAGAAACCACUUCAAUAGGACCUGAUCCUAGAGAGAUCCUCCACAGCUGGACCUCAGCCCCAGAUCCAGAGACAUUCAGGAACAUGAGAAAGAACGUCACUGAGAUCUAUGAGUCUGGAAAAGGUUCUAAAGCUCUGGGACUCCAGAGAACCACAGUGAGAGCCAUUAUCCACAAAUGGAGGAAACAUGGAACAGUGGAGAACCUUCCCAGGAGAGGCCGGCCCACCACAAUGACCCCAAGAGCUCAGACACCACUGAUCCAAGAGGGCACAAAAGGCCCACAACAAGACCCAGAGACCUGCAGCCUCACUGGGCUCAGUUAAGGUCAGAGUUCAGAAAGAGACUGGGCUAACAUGGCCUCAUGGCAGAGUUCAAGACCAGAACCACUGCUGAGCUAAAAGAACAUGUGGACCACCCCCAAGACUUCAGGACAACACUCAAUACUUUUUGGAAGGUGGGAGAGGACCGUGUACAGCACUGAUGAUAUUGCGUCGUCCGUGGACCAGUUUGGCCUGUAGACAAACUGUAGAGGGUCAUGUGGGGUGGGCAGGAAGGAGGACAUGUGCUUUGACUGUCCUCUCAAAGCUCUUCAUCAUGGUGGAGAGAAUAAACUGAGGAGCCUGAAGGUCAGAAUGAUGUCUGUACCAG